rnacentral:rRNA from 1 species
CAGUAGCCGCGGUAAAACGUAGGGGGCAAGCGUUGUCCGGAAUCAUUGGGCGUAAAGCGCGUGUAGGCGGCUCGAUAAGUCUGCUGUGAAAGUCCAGGGCUCAACCCUGGAAUGCCGGUGGAAACUGUCGAGCUCGAGUCCGGAAGAGGCAAGUGGAAUUCCUGGUGUAGCGGUGAAAUGCGCAGAUAUCAGGAGGAACACCAAUGGCGAAGGCAGCUUGCUGGGACGGUACUGACGCUGAGACGCGAAAGCGUGGGGAGCAAACAGGAUUAGAUACCCGCGUAGUCCCUGUCUCUUAUAC